AUCUCAUGGUGAGGAUAUUGUCUAAUCAACUCCUUGAAUCUUUCCCAUGCAUCAAACAGGGACUCGUCCUCUCCUCGUCUGAAUGAAAUGAUUUCAUUUCUCAUCUU